rnacentral:rRNA from 1 species
UGGGGAUAAACCCGGGAAACUGGGUAUAAUACCCAAUAGAUCUCGACUGCUGGAAUGCAUCGAGAUCCAAAGCUCCGGCGCUCAAGGAUGGAUCUGCGGCCUAUCAGGUAGUAGUGGGUGUAGCGUACCUACUAGCCUACGACGGGUACGGGUUGUGAGAGCAAGAGCCCGGAGAUGGAUUCUGAGACACGAAUCCAGGCCCUACGGGGUGCAGCAGGCGCGAAAACUUUACAAUGCUGGAAACAGCGAUAAGGGGACCUCGAGUGCCAGGUUACAAAUCUGGCUGUCGUGAUGCCUAAAAAGCAUUGCAUAGCAAGGGCCGGGCAAGACCGGUGCCAGCCGCCGCGGUAACACCGGCGGCUCGAGUGGUAACCGUUAUUAUUGGGUCUAAAGGGUCUGUAGCCGGCCGGAUAAGUCUCUUGGGAAAUCUGGCAGCUUAACUGUCAGGCUUUCAGGAGAUACUGUCUGGCUCGAGGCCGGGAGAGGUGAAAGGUACUUCAGGGGUAGGGGUGAAAUCUUGUAAUCCUUGAAGGACCACCAGUGGCGAAGGCGUCUCACCAGAACGGACCUGACGGCAAGGGACGAAAGCUAGGGGCACGAACCGGAUUAGAUACCCGGGUAGUCCUAGCCGUAAACGAUACUCGCUAGGUGUCGGCAACGGUGCGACCGUUGUCGGUGCCGUAGGGAAGCCGUGAAGCGAGCCACCUGGGAAGUACGGCCGCAAGGCUGAAACUUAA